rnacentral:rRNA from 1 species
AUUGAACGCUGGCGGCAUGCCUUACACAUGCAAGUCGAACGGCAGCACGGGUGCUUGCACCUGGUGGCGAGUGGCGCACGGGUGAGUAAUACAUCGGAACAUGUCCUGUAGUGGGGGAUAGCCCGGCGAAAGCCGGAUUAAUACCGCAUACGAUCUACGGAUGAAAGCGGGGGACCUUCGGGCCUCGCGCUAUAGGGUUGGCCGAUGGCUGAUUAGCUAGUUGGUGGGGUAAAGGCCUACCAAGGCGACGAUCAGUAGCUGGUCUGAGAGGACGACCAGCCACACUGGGACUGAGACACGGCCCAGACUCCUACGGGAGGCAGCAGUGGGGAAUUUUGGACAAUGGGCGAAAGCCUGAUCCAGCAAUGCCGCGUGUGUGAAGAAGGCCUUCGGGUUGUAAAGCACUUUUGUCCGGAAAGAAAUCCUUGGCUCUAAUACAGUCGGGGGAUGACGGUACCGGAAGAAUAAGCACCGGCUAACUACGUG